AUUUUCUCUAAGUCUCCCAAGUACGUUGCGACCAAAAGGAACAAAAGGUAACCAUUUGGCGGGGGUGAAUCGAAGAGUAUGACUGUUUUCAAUUUGUGUUUCAAGUCUGCGUCUUAGCUGAGAAAAGAAAAUAUCAUUACGAACUGGUUGAUUUAUAGAUUAUUUAGAAAAAGUAGAAGAAG
ensembl:ncRNA W04D2.12 ncRNA